rnacentral:rRNA from 1 species
GACGAACGCUGGCGGCGUGCCUAACACAUGCAAGUCGAACGGAGAUAUGAUCUCGGUUAUAUCUUAGUGGCGAACGGGUGAGUAACGCGUGAGCAACCUGACUCUUAGAGGGGGAUAACACCCGGAAACGAGUGCUAAUACCGCAUAAGACCACGACAUGGCAUCAUGACGAGGUCAAAGGAGCAAUCCGCUGAGAGAGGGGCUCGCGUCCCAUUAGAUAGAUGGCGGGGUAACGGCCCACCAUGUCAACGAUGGGUAGCCGAGCUGAGAGGCUGAUCGGCCACACUGGAACGGAGACACGGUCCAGACUCCUACGGGAGGCAGCAGUGGGGAAUAUUGGGCAAUGGGCGCAAGCCUGACCCAGCAACGCCGCGUGAGGGAAGAAGGCUUUCGGGUUGUAAACCUCUGUCCUUGGUGACGAAACAAAUGACGGUAGCCAAGGAGGAAGCCCCGGCUAACUACGUGCCAGCCGCCGCCGUAACAC